rnacentral:rRNA from 1 species
CCCCCACGCCGGAAGACCAAGGGUUCCUAUCCCAUGCUAAUCAGGGUAGGGUGAGUCGACCCCUAAGGCGAGGCCGAAAGGCGUAGUCGAUGGGAAACAGGUUAAUAUUCCUGUACUUAAUAUUACUGCGAUGGGGGGACGGAGAAGGCUAGGCAAGCACACGGUUGGUUGUGUGUGAAAGUGAGUAGGCUGGGAGUUUAGGUAAAUCCGGACUUCUGUUAAAGCUGAGACACGAGACGAGACUCUACGGAGUUGAAGUUGUUGAUGCCCUGCUUCCAGGAAAAGCCUCUAAGCUUCAGGUAAUAUUGAAUCGUACCCGAAACCGACACAGGUGGUCAGGUAGAGAAUACUAAGGCGCUUGAGAGAACUCGGGUGAAGGAACUAGGCAAAAUAGUACCGUAACUUCGGGAGAAGGUACGCUCUUGUUUGUGAAGGACUUGCUCCGUAAGCAGAUGAGAGUCGCAGUGACCAGGUGGCUGGGACUGUUUAUUAAAAACACAGCACUCUGCAAAAUCGCAAGAUGACGUAUAGGGUGUGACACCUGCCCGGUGCCGGAAGGUUAAUUGAUUGGGUUAGCGUAAGCGAAGCUCAUGAUCGAAGCCCCGGUAAACGGCGGCCGUAACUAUAACGGUCCUAAGGUAGCGAAAUUCCUUGUCGGGUAAGUUCCGACCUGCACGAAUGGUGUAACCAUGGCCACGCUGUCUCCACCCGAGACUCAGUGAAAUUGAAAUUGCGGUUAAGAUGCCGUAUACCCGCGGCUAGACGGAAAGACCCCGUGAACCUUUACUACAGCUUGGCACUGAACAUUGAGCCUACAUGUGUAGGAUAGGUGGGAGGCUUUGAAGCGUUGACGCUAGUCAUCGUGGAGCCGACCUUGAAAUACCACCCUUGUAUGUUUGAUGUUCUAACUUAGGUCCCUAAUCGGGAUUGAGGACAGUGCCUGGUGGGUAGUUUGACUGGGGCGGUCUCCUCCCAAAGAGUAACGGAGGAGCACGAAGGUUGGCUAAGUACGGUCGGACAUCGUACGGUUAGUGCAAUGGCAUAAGCCAGCUUAACUGCGAGACAGACACGUCGAGCAGGUGCGAAAGCAGGUCAUAGUGAUCCGGUGGUUCUGAAUGGAAGGGCCAUCGCUCAACGGAUAAAAGGUACUCCGGGGAUAACAGGCUGAUACCGCCCAAGAGUUCAUAUCGACGGCGGUGUUUGGCACCUCGAUGUCGGCUCAUCACAUCCUGGGGCUGAAGUCGGUCCCAAGGGUAUGGCUGUUCGCCAUUUAAAGUGGUACGCGAGCUGGGUUUAGAACGUCGUGAGACAGUUCGGUCCCUAUCUGCCGUGGGCGUUGGAUGAUUGAGAGGAGCUGCUCCUAGUACGAGAGGACCGGAGUGGACGAACCUCUGGUGUUCGGGUUGUCACGCCAGUGGCACUGCCCGGUAGCUAAGUUCGGAACUGAUAACCGCUGAAAGCAUCUAAGCGGGAAGCAGGCCUCGAGAUGAGUCAUCCCUAGGAAUUAAAUUCCUCUAAAGGGUUGUUGAAGACUACGACGUAGAUAGGCAGGGUGUGGAAGCGCUGUGAGGCGUUAAGCUAACCUGUACUAAUUGCCCGAGAGGCUUAACCAU